AAGCUGGUUCUUUAUGUGGAAGCACUAGCUCAUGUCAUUCACAAGCACCAACUAUCAGAAACUACAACUCCUCCACACAAAGCACCUUUUUCUCUACAAGGUUUUGCUCCACCCUGGUCAAUCAAUAUUCACAAGACAACACUUUUUUCCACUAGAACAUCCUUGUCGUCACACCAUACUGAACAGGUCCAACUUUUCUAUGAGCAGUGACACCAGCACCAGCACCUGCACUAAUACCACCAUAUUGAGCCUUCGGCUGCAGCAAGUUUGUGUCAAUAGCUAUCCGAUCAUCUCGUUCUAUCUUGUUCACUCCUGCCCUUGUCAUGAAAAAGGGGUUAGUAUCGAUAUUAAUAGCUACAUCUGUUGCUAUUCUGGCAUUGACACCACAUUGCUGUUGAGCAUGGUUUGCUUGUAAAGACACACCCUUAUCAGCUUCUAUUGGUGCUGGCUCUUCUUGAUUUCCAGAGCUAGAUCUUUGAUAAUAAUAUGUCGGUGGUAUAGGUCGGGAAGGAAGAACAGAACCUCUUAUGAAUGUCCUUGGAUCAUAAGAAUCCUUGACGACACUCGCAUACUCGUAUGGAACAACUGGCCCAACAACUUUACCAGGUUUUACUGAAAAUAAAAAUGUUAGUGUUUAUUACUGAUGUAAUAUACAUAUUAAUUUUAACAAACUUAUGAUAAUGAUCACAUACCCAAUGGAAUUCUUUGCAUUCCCUGAAUGGACCUUGCCACGGGGUUUUCCGCAUCUCUAGGAAUGUUAUUAUAUUCUUCAGCUGUUUGACGGUUUUUGGAGGAAGCAAUAUUUGAUUGCUGUUUUGGCAGUGCCAUAUUCGAAUGUACAAUUGUUGACCUAUCAAUAAUCCGAAAAAUAUCAGUAUGAUAUCCUCUAACUAUGCUCAUUAUGAAUGAAAACAAUGGUAAAUCAUGGAAACAAAUGCAGCUUGGAGUAUGCGAGAACUAUUUUGGUCCCGUGCUUGUGAUGUCAUCCCACACCAUGCUAAGACAUAGAAGAACAGGUAAAUAGAUGGUUGGAAAUGCAAUAAGAAAAGGGCUUCAUAGAUGAUAAUUUACCACAAUAUAAACCCUGGACUAUCAAAGAAAUAUUAAGCCUGAAUAAAAGGGUAUUUGCAACUCUUGCAUGUAGUGGACUAAUCCACACUACAAUUGACUACUUCCGUACUUCGGCACUGUAUCCUAUGUAAAAACAUUUAGAUUGAUUAAGAGUGCCCAUGUUAAGAGGAUUAUUUGUCACAAACACUUUUAUUUUGAUAAAACAUGUUUUUGAUAUCUUAUCAGUUGUUUGGUUAGGAUUAAAAAAAACUAUUCAUACAAAAUAAACAUUUAGAAAAAAUGACUCUAACAUGGGAGAAAUUAGAAUCACUCAUCAAACUUGCAGCCAAGCACAAAAUAGUUUCUGAUUUUACAUAAAUCAUUUUUGUCAAGAUUUCAGAAAAAACAAUUUCCAAAGGAUAAACAAACAGGCCCUAAAUUAGAACUAAUUUUGCAUCACCAGAGCCAGCUGCUAUAUACUAGUUUCGUUUCACAUAUGCAUCAUUUCAAUGCAUCUCAUGCGAGUGUAUUUAACAUUAAUCUUAAGUAUGUAUGAUACAUCAUAGUAACCUUUUACAAACAAUCUAUGAUUGCAACAAAUGAUAAGCAAAAUCCAAGGAGAUAGUACAUUGAUCAAUUACCUGGGAAGUGAUGCAUGCUUUCUUUCAAGUGGCAUGACUGGACUACUUUUACCACCAUUUUCUUCAAGAUGAGCAAACUGGUUUUUGAACUGAUCCACAGCACUGUGAAGAAUAAGCACCAACAAAUGAUAAGGAGAGAAUGAUAGAAGAGAAAUGUGAAUAACCAAUUAAGGGAAAAAGGACAAACAUUGGAAAUAAACCAAAAAAUAAAAACCUUGGAUAAAGAAAAUUAGUUCUCUCUGUUCCAUUUAAGUAGUCUUUCAGCAGUUGAGGAUGGUACUCUAGAAUCUCGCGGAAAAUAAGCUCUCGGAUUUCUUCCUUUGUGACUCUUCUCCUUUCAAAUUCAAACUCCAUUUUCGUAAUAGGCUGGCAAGAUGGCUCCCUCUCAAUUCGUGAGAGUCCCUUGAAGUAAGGAUCAGCUAAUGCCUGAAAAAAACCAAACGUUUCAAAAUUCUAAAACAGGGAGUAAAUAUUGUAUCUGUAUAGUAAUAUACUUGCUCUAUGAAUUAUACCUUCUUUUGUCCAAACGAAGAGCAUAAGCUAAAAACCACUUAACUAUCCAACUAAAAUAAUUCUCAUUACAUAUACAUGAGAAAUAGACCAAAAUAAAACAAACCUCUUCGGCAGUAGGUCGGUCCUUCGGAUCAAAAGCAAGCAAUCUUUCCAAUAGUCGGAUAAGUUAGAUACAUCCAGAGAAUGCAAUGAUUCUGUACUAUACAAUAAUUUAUUGCCACCCAGUGGGGAAAUUAGUGGUCCAAGUUAGUCUACACAAAUACCUGAAUAUUAUUUUACUAAAUCUUAUUUCCACCGAGAGAAUGAGAGAUUAUUUUGAUAUUUAAACUAUAUACCUCUUUAUAUAGUGUUCUUUUAAGUUAAUUCAAUGAACAUAUUUAAGGAAAAAAAUGUUACAAUAAUUAUAAAAUACAAAUAAAAGUUACAAAGAUUAUGUGGUAUAUGACAAUUUGUGAGUGUAAAGUUGAUUGAUACUCCAUUAGUGAUACCAAUUAAGGUUCUCUAUUAUCUAUUUUUAAGAAUUAAUUUCGUUUUUAUUAACCUUUUGAAAGUUAAAAAAACAUCAUCAACUUAUUAACAAUUAUGACUUUUAUAGUAAGAGAUAAUUGAUGAAAUUAUUAAUGAUGGCUGAUGAAUAGAUGAAUGACAAAUAUAAAAAAAUAAAAUUUUAUCGAAACUAUAUAUAUUAGUGUAUAUAUUUAUAUGCUAAUAAGAAAGAUAUAACAGUAAGAUUAUUUCUAAAGAUACUUUACUAAUAGUCCUAUGGUGGAAAUUGAGAGGAGUAAAGAUAUUCUCUAUUAAUGGAUAGAUAAAUACAACAAAAAAUAAAGGAAAUAAUAAUAUCAUAAAACAUUUGCAUCUUUUAUAUAUAAUGUCAUAAUAUUUUUGUUAUUGAAAAUACGGGUAAAAUUAAAUAUUUGUCUCUUUAUUAACGUGAAGAUACUUAUUCUAUCAAAAGAGGUGAGGUGAGGUGGUUGUGUUUCCAAUAAGGAAACCAUGGGUGAGUUGGGUUAUUGGGCCAAGAAGAUCAUUUGUCCUAUUUAUGUUCUAAUUAGUGUACCAGACCAAUUAAAAUGUAUCAUUAAGUUAAAUAGAAAAACUAUAAAUGAAUAAUUAUAUUACUUGUUAUACUUUGAUUGGAUAGAGACACGAAGAGACACAGUUUUUUGGGAUAGGUGAUCUGGGUUCAUUGGGUCAUUACCAUUGUAUUUACUAAUCUUAGUCCCACACCGUUUUCUUGUCACAUUCACACACUACAUCCUCUCUCUUUUUUAAUAAAUAAAUCAUACCCUCCAUAUUAAUUUCCCAUUCCUUCAUAUAUUUUUUUCUUUCAAUUUUGUUAAUGAGAAUCCAUACCCACAUUUAUAAUUUAUGAGAGAGCUAGCUAACUAUAUAAUUGAAUAUUGCAUAUAUAUAUAUAAUUGCUGAGUGUUUUUCUUCAACUUUAUAGCAUCCCUUGUUUCUCUUUUGUUUGAACAUGCAAAGAUACCAAAACCAUCUUUUGACACAAGAAAUGAAAGUCUCUCACAUGGUAGGGCUCUAUUGAUUCAUAAUAACAUGUUUCUAUUUCCACCAAAGCUAAAAGUUAGUAAUAAAAAUAUACAAUGAAGGUUUAAUGUUCUUUGAUUAUCCUUAAAAAGUUAUUAAAUUCCAAUGUAGUAAAUAUAAAGGGACACCUAUGUUUUAUCAAAGAUUGUUCCUUUUGAACAGUAUACAUGGAAAAUUGAGCAAAGUUGAAUUACUAAUCUUAAUCAAAGAACAUUCUCUGUAUGAAUGAACUAGAGAAAAAUACUUACUGCAACAAUAUCAUUGAUCAGAAUAUUUUUUGUUUAAUAUAUAAGUACAUAAAAGAAAAGUAAAUGCAUGCAGUAGAAGAGUAGGUGAGAAAUAUUGAUACAUUUUGAUUUUCUGAACUUGUUUAACUUAAUGAUCAUCACAUGAACUGACACAGAAAUUAAAUCUGUGAGCCCCUCUAUCUGCAAUUUGCAGCUAUUGCGCUUGCAUGUUGUAAAUGUCAAAUAAUAUCAACAAAGAAAAAGGAUUCAAAUGCAUUAUCUCAACCAUGUGUUUCAAUAUAUGGUAGUGGCAGGAGUUAUUCAUCAGAUUCUCUCAUAGCUUUGUAAUAAGUCUCUUUCCAUCACACUUUCCACUAUGUUCAUCUUAAAGCCACCCUCUACACACAUGUCAAUCUCAUAAAAAAUGUUUAUGUACCUGAUGAUAAUGUAAAGGAGUGUGUGGUUGCCUCUCCCAACAAAUAUUGUUCACUGAAAUAAUCAUGUUACUGUUUGUUUGUUUUAAUUUGUUUUUUUAAUAUAAGGAAAUGAUAUAUAAGUUUAGAAUAUAUAAGGAAUCUUUUUGUUUAAAUAGUGUUUACUCAUUUUCAAUGUUGUUUUUGUUAGCAAAAUUUUAAUACAAAAUAAUAAAGCAAAUGCUACUGAAGCAAUAAAUCUCUUCUACCCUUUCCCUUUGGUGUGUGCACCCUUUAGCCCAAAAUAUGAAAGAGUGGUGAUAUUGGUAUACUUUCAUACACACUUCAUAUUUCUUUCUAUCUCUCUUUCUUAUAAUAUUAUCGAUCGACAUUUCUGACACAUGAAAUAACACAUGUUAUGGGAUCAAAGAUAUACUCCCCUCUUUACAUAUGGAGUUGUAUAAUUUUCCUAGUAUGAAUCCAAAAUUUUAUAUUUAUGCUAAUACAUGAUGUCAUAGGUUCAAAUCCUAGAAACAAUAUUACUGCUUGCAAGAGAUAAGAUUGCAUGCAACUACCCUCGUCAGACCUCACUAAAUUAGAGUCUCUAUAAGGUACCAUUCAUGCUCACCAAUAAAAAUAUAAAGAAAGAUAAAUAGCCAAGUGAAAUGGAAGUUAACUAUGAGUUAUUAUGAAUAAAAUGACAUUAUUGAUAGACUUUAGUUCUUAUUCUGUCAAAUGUUUGCUCAAGUUUUGCACAUUAGUGUCAAAUGAUGAACAAUCUCUAAAUGUCAAGGAAUUAUAUGGGAACACAGAAUGGUGUUUAUAGAAUUACUAGGACUCAAUUUCAAUUGUACAAUUUCUUCAUAUGUUGUGUCCAAAGUUAAUAGCUGUUUAACCAGAGAAAGCUGGUUCUUUAUGUGGAAGCACUAGCUCAUGUCAUUCACAAGCACCAACUAUCAGAAACUACAACUCCUCCACACAAAGCACCUUUUUCUCUACAAGGUUUUGCUCCACCCUGGUCAAUCAAUAUUCACAAGACAACACUUUUUUCCACUAGAACAUCCUUGUCGUCACACCAUACUGAACAGGUCCAACUUUUCUAUGAGCAGUGACACCAGCACCAGCACCUGCACUAAUACCACCAUAUUGAGCCUUCGGCUGCAGCAAGUUUGUGUCAAUAGCUAUCCGAUCAUCUCGUUCUAUCUUGUUCACUCCUGCCC
rnacentral:lncRNA from 1 species